UGCUGCUGCAGCUCCAGCCCCGGGCGCGCCGCUCCUGCGCGCGUGUGUGCCACAGAUAGGGGGGGACGGAACGCGGCGGGGUGCGGGGAACGUGGACAAUGCGAACGCCUCGGCCGCGGGCGCCCCGCCCCGGCGCAGAGCUCAGGGCUGCGAGUCUGCCCCAAUCUGCGGGGCGCAGGCACUUUCUGCGGCUGUGACUUAGAGCUGCCGGGAGGGACUGUCGCCAAGUGCGAUUUCAACGUUUUGAGGGGGGGGAGGGGGCUUCGCUUUGUUUAGGGUUAUUGCCCAUCGGCAGGAGGGCGACGGUGGGUGGUGGGAGUGAGGAGUCGCCCAGCGAGAAGCCUGAGACAGGAUAUUAGUGGAAAUAAUGCAGUGGUUGUCAGGAAACGCGAGUGCAGCCACAUGGCUACUGCCAGUUCUGCAGCGAGGAUAUCCGGUGGCUGCAAAGUCUGUAAUUUAGAAUAAAAAGAGCUCUCCCAAGACCCGAGAGGCUGACCUCAGCGCCGCGUGGCGGUGGUGCGCCCGGCGCCCUCCGUGGAGACGAUCCAGCUUGUGACAGGUGGGGAAGCCUCUUCCUAGGGGAUUUGUAGCUUCAAAGAUCUUGCACAUACUCCCCUUCGGAUUCAUGUUGCAAAAUUCAGCCAGCCUCUUCUGCAACAUGGUGGGGGUCGAGGACGUGACAUUUGUACAGAUGACUACCAAGCAAGUCUAUAAAUAGAAGAUUCAACAUACAACGACACAAGCGGUUGAUGAAAUGAGAAAAUGUAUGGCAAGCAUCUGGUGUAGGUGAUCAAUAAAUGCUGGUGAUGAAAUGAUCAUGUAUUCACAUUGGGGGACCAUGACAGACCUUUCAUUAAUAUGGUAAAUUUGAUACUGAUCAUCAAUGACUUGAAUUUCCAUAUUAUCAUUCAUUACCAUAUCAUUUAUCACUCAGGCUGGAAAUGGAAAUGACUAAUGAAAAUGUACAUGUACCAGCUGUUAGCUGGCUUAUCUAUCCAUCCAUUUUGGGCCUCACUCCAAUCUUGACAACAAAACCAUGUGUUUCCUUAAACCACCCCCCACUGUCAAGCUGGGAUCCAAGCUCAUCCUUGCCUGGAAGGAAAUGCCCCGAGGGGUGGUUUUUCAGCAGAGCAGAAACCUCACAGUUAAGGUCAGGUGCUCCUGAGAUGCAAACUGCCCCCUGGACUCAGGGAAACCUUCUUACUCUAACUGGAUUCCGUGUCAUCUCAUCUCAGAAAGCCUCGCUUGGGUACACUGGAUAAGGAUUCUCUUCUUAAACUACUCUGUUGUGUUAAACAAUUGUCCUUUUCCAUUAUGGGAACAUGGAGCAAUUUGGGGGAGCAUCAGUAUUCAUAGUUAAAUAUAGUCACCUUUCUUAUUUUU